rnacentral:rRNA from 1 species
AGGACGAACGCUGGCGGCGUGCUUAACACAUGCAAGUCGAACGCGCCUUAUUCCUUCGGGAGUAAGGUGAGUGGCGAACGGGUGAGUAACACGUGAGCAACCUGCCCUUGACCCUGGAAUAACAGCUGGAAACAGCUGCUAAUACCGGAUACGACCUCCGAUGGCAUCAUCUGGAGGUGGAAAGCUCCGACGGUCAAGGAUGGGCUCGCGGCCUAUCAGCUAGUUGGUGUGGGUAACGGCCCACCAAGGCGACGACGGGUA